GACGAACGCUGGCGGCGUGCCUAAUACAUGCAAGUAGAACGCACAGUUUAUACCGUAGCUUGCUACACCAUACACUGUGAGUUGCGAACGGGUGAGUAACGCGCAGGUAACCUGCCUGGUAGCGGGGGAUAACUAUUGGAAACGAUAGCUAAUACCGCAUAAUAUUGAUUAUUGCAUGAUAAUUGAUUGAAAGAUGCUAUUGCAUCACUACCAGAUGGACCUGCGUUGUAUUAGCUAGUAGGUGAGGUAACGGCUCACCUAGGCGACGAUACAUAGCCGACCUGAGAGGGUGAUCGGCCACACUGGGACUGAGACACGGCCCAGACUCCUACGGGAGGCAGCAGUAGGGAAUCUUCGGCAAUGGACGAAAGUCUGACCGAGCAACGCCGCGUGAGUGAAGAAGGUUUUCGGAUCGUAAAGCUCUGUUGUAAGAGAAGAACGGGUGUGAGAGUGGAAAGUUCACACUGUGACGGUAUCUUACCAGAAAGGGACGGCUAACUACGUG
rnacentral:rRNA from 1 species